AGAGUUUGAUCCUGGCUCAGAACGAACGCUGGCGGCAGGCUUAACACAUGCAAGUCGAGCGCUGUAGCAAUACAGAGCGGCAGACGGGUGAGUAACGCGUGGGAAUCUACCCAUCCCUACGGAACAACUCCGGGAAACUGGAGCUAAUACCGUAUACGCCCUUUGGGGGAAAGAUUUAUCGGGGAUGGAUGAGCCCGCGUUGGAUUAGCUAGUUGGUGGGGUAAAGGCCUACCAAGGCGACGAUCCAUAGCUGGUCUGAGAGGAUGAUCAGCCACAUUGGGACUGGGACACGGCCCAAACUCCUACGGGAGGCAGCAGUGGGGAAUAUUGGACAAUGGGCGCAAGCCUGAUCCAGCCAUGCCGCGUGUGUGAUGAAGGCCUUAGGGUUGUAAAGCACUUUCACCGGAGAAGAUAAUGACGGUAUCCGGAGAAGAAGCCCCGGCUAACUUCGUGCCAGCAGCCGCGGUAAUACGAAGGGGGCUAGCGUUGUUCGGAAUUACUGGGCGUAAAGCGCACGUAGGCGGAUAUUUAAGUCAGGGGUGAAAUCCCGCAGCUCAACUGCGGAACUGCCUUUGAUACUGGGUAUCUUGAGUAUGGAAGAGGUAAGUGGAAUUGCGAGUGUAGAGGUGAAAUUCGUAGAUAUUCGCAGGAACACCAGUGGCGAAGGCGGCUUACUGGUCCAUAACUGACGCUGAGGUGCGAAAGCGUGGGGAGCAAACAGGAUUAGAUACCCUAGUAGUCC
rnacentral:rRNA from 1 species